UACAGAGGGUGCAAGCGUUGCUCGGAAUUAUUGGGCGUAAAGGGUAGGUAGGUGGUCUCAUUUGUCUGGGGUGAAAGCCUUGAGCUUAACUCAAGAAGUGCCCCAGAAACGGUGAGACUAGAGUCCUGGAGAGGGUCGUGGAAUUCCCGGUGUAGCGGUGAAAUGCGUAGAGAUCGGGAGGAACACCUGAGGCGAAAGCGGCGACCCUGGACAGGUACUGACACUCAACUACGAAAGCGUGGGGAGCAAACAGGG
rnacentral:rRNA from 1 species